CCAGUCCCAACUUCGCCAGUGAAGCCACAUAAUAUCCCAAAAAGACUGUUACCAAUGUUGGAAGUGAACAGUAAUCGCUGCCAACACAGAUGGUAGCUCAAUGGAAGAAGCAACCAUGUUGCAGGAUUUCUAAGUCAGUGCCAAAAAAAGUUGCAGAACUUGUGAUGGCUGGGUGGUUAACUACAGUUUUGUUAAAUUGGUUCAAAAUUGUCAUUACAAAUUCGCCAACUGGCGCCAAGGGGAAAAACUACAAUCGUCUCACC